UACGGAGGGUGCAAGCGUUAUCCGGAUUUACUGGGUUUAAAGGGUGCGUAGGCGGGCCUGUAAGUCAGUGGUGAAAUCUUCCCGCUUAACGGGAAAACUGCCAUUGAUACUAUAGGUCUUGAAUUCAGUUGAGGUGGGCGGAAUGUGUCGUGUAGCGGUGAAAUGCGUAGAUAUUGGGAGGAACACCAGUGGCGAAGGCGGCUACCUGGACCGGUUCUGACGCUGAUGCGCGAAAGCGUGGGGAGCAAACAGG
rnacentral:rRNA from 1 species